rnacentral:rRNA from 1 species
UACGAAGGGGGCUAGCGUUGCUCGGAAUGACUGGGCGUAAAGGGCGCGUAGGCGGCUUUAUAAGUCGGGGGUGAAAGCCUGUGGCUCAACCCCAGAAUUGCCUUCGAUACUGUAGAGCUUGAGACCGGAAGAGGUAAGUGGAACUGCGAGUGUAGAGGUGAAAUUCGUAGAUAUUCGGAAGAACACCAGUGGCGAAGGCGGCUUACUGGGCCGGUUCUGACGCUGAGGCGCGAAAGCGUGGGGAGCAAACAGG